AUUGAACGCUAGCGGUAGGCCUAACACAUGCAAGUCGAACGAGUGGCGGACGGGUGAGUAAUGUAUGGGAAACUGCCUGAUGGAGGGGGAUAACUACUGGAAACGGUAGCUAAUACCGCAUACCAUUAGAGGUGCCCAGAUGGGAUUAGAUUGUUGGUGGGGUAAUGGCUCACCAAGGCGACGAUCCCUAGCUGGUUUGAGAGGAUGACCAGCCACACUGGAACUGAGACACGGUCCAGACUCCUACGGUAGUCAGCAGUGGGAAAUAUUGCACAAUGGGGGCAAACCUGAUACAGCCAUGCCGCGUGUAUGAAGAAGGCCUUCGGGUUGUAAAGUACUUUCAGCAGAGAAGCGUUACCCGCAGAAUAAGCACCGGCGAACUCCGUGCCAGCAGCCGCGGUAAUUC
rnacentral:rRNA from 1 species